UUGAUCUGUAAUGUUUUAGUGCAACAAAGUCAUACCAAGUGAGGUCCAUGUGGUGCUCUGAGAUGCUCUUGGUGGUUUGUUGUCAAGACUGAUAUCCCCUGUAUGUCAUGAUGUUGCUAGCUUGUUUCAGUCCAGUAUCUUCUUGAUAGUCUUGUUAACAUAUCUUUCAGUAGAUGUCACAAUAGCAUGAUAAAAAAUUUAGUUGGUGAUGUACUGUAGUCUGUAGUAUGCACCUGCAUAUGCAUGAAAGAAUAGUUAAUAUCUUGAUCCAAGUCUAAGCUUUCAUACUUGAAAUGUUACUCCUGCCAAUAGGACAACUGGGUGAGGACGCUGCGGCUGGGCUUCUAGUGUGUGGGGAUCCUCUACGCUGACCUCGGGACAUCGCCGCUCUAUGUCUUCUCCAACACCUUCAAGUAUGGCGUCGGGCACGAGGACGACGUGCCAGGCGUCCUCUCCCUCAUCAUCUACAGCUUCCUGCUCUUCGCCAUGGUCAAGAUCAUCUUCAUCGCGCUCUUAUAUUUAGGAAUGGAGAUUUGCUGUUGGAGGCACUAGGUGGACAAGUUGUACCUUCGGAGUAGUACUACAUCAACCUCAUGGAACCUUCAAGUUGUUUCAUUGAUUUUCCAUGAAUAUAUACUACUACAACAGCUUGUUACUAUUACUACAUGCCAUCCUUUUUAUUUUCAGUAGUGAUUUUGAUGCACAAAUGCUUGUGAGAAUAUGAUGCUUUAGCCUAGAUAUAUGAUGCAAAGUAUGUUGCUGCUAGUGCUAGGUCCUCGUUGUGGGUUUCUAACUUUGCAGAGCUGAGGAUAUCUUUUAUGUUGCACCUGAAAUUUUCUAUUGAAGUCGUUAGGCUAAGUAGUUUCUUGUAGGACUUGAGCAUCGGUUCUACUCUGAAAAUCAUGUGUGUUUGAUGGUAUAAUUAUCUUUGGUUCAUCUACACUUGGUACCUUGUAUCAAGCCUGAACAUCAAGGUGCUAGACCAUGAUUAGCCCGAGUCUUUGUUCAACUUCCUAUUAGUAGAAAGCAAUGUCAAUGUGUCCCAGUUUGGCUGUUUCAUCUGCUCCAGUGCCAUCUGAUGAGGUGCCUGGAUCUAGGUGCCAUCCCCGCCUCUGUGUCGGAUCAUUCAAUUUGUUUUUCAACUUGAUGCCAUCCCCAUCUAGUGCCAUCUGAUGAUCUGCAUGACAUGAAAUAUAUAUUUACAAUUUUUUCAAAUUGUUUUCGCUGUUACUUGAUACAUACUUAUCUUGUACUUGAAGUUGUGGGUUACUUAUGGUGAUUUUGUUCUACUUGAAUGCAUUGGUACCGCCAUCAUCGAGCGAACGGAUGCAAUAGCGGCAAGAAGCUCACAGAUGUGUGCAUCUAAAGCACACCAUGGACAUCAUCCACCUCCUCACGGAUGUGGCAAGAAGAGCUCCAUGCUGAAGAACAUAACACUUGUAGAGAUUGUAAAGUAUUGUAUCUAGUUAUUUAACUUGUGGAGCUUGUAUAGUAGGAGCUCUGUACUGAAUUUGUACAACAAGAGCUCUGUACUGAAUUUGGUUGAUAAUAUUAGAAGUAUUUCAUGUG